rnacentral:lncRNA from 1 species
CCCACAGAUGUAGAUAGUUCUCCAGCUUUUGACAGAAUGAAAUUGGUUCUAAAUCUUCCUAAUAGCCCCCAUUUUUGCUACUAUGAGAGUAGUAAGGUGAAUAAAUAGUAGAAUUUUAAGUUGUAAACAGAUUCAAAACAUUUUAUCUGUGCAGGCAUACAUAUAUGUUGGCAUUUUAGUUACAUCUUGAAGUUAUCCACAUGGUUUGAGGAAAUGUUGAGCACAGAAAAAUAUAUAAUUAUUAUUAGUUUGUGAAAAAAGCAGAGCGAGUUUCUGCCACCAACCCAUGAAAGCACAGGAAAUGGCUUUGUGUAGUAGGUGUUUGAGUCUAGGCAUUCUGUUGACAGAAGUGGGUUCUACCCAGGGGUUUUGUGUUAAUGUAAUCAAACACUUCAGAGCUGCAGCCUAACAAGAUCAAGUCCACCCACCUCAGAGUUUAUCUUUAGCUCAUCUGGAAGAGUUUAUUUUAAACAUUGAACAUUGUUUGCUGCUGUUGAAAUGAAAGUGAGAGAGUUACAAGCUUUCUUCCACUGCCAUCUGGCAGGUUUACUGAUGGAUCGGGUUCUUUAAUCCAUGUAACCCUGUGUGUGGGAGCUAUUGUCUUUGUGUUGAUCAUGCAGCUGGCUUGGCUGAACUUUAAAAAGCUUACAUAAAGCUAUCAAAAGCCAUCCUAUAGAUAAAUGAAGUUGAGGAUGUUGCAAAAGUCACUGAGGCCUUUUUGGAGAAGGCUUGGAUAUAUAUUUUUCAUUCUUCACUGAACACAUAUUUUGCAUGUUCUCUUUAUGAACUGGAAAAGAGGAAGAUAACUGUAUUUGGAU